rnacentral:guide_RNA from 1 species
AUAUAAUAUAACUGAUGGUACGAGAGAUUGAUUUGUAAGUGAUAAU